rnacentral:rRNA from 2 species
AACCUACCUAUAAGACUGGGAUAACUCCGCGCGAAACCGGGGCUAAUACCGGAUAAUAUAUUGAACCGCAUGGUUCAAUGUUGAAAGACGGUUUCGGCUGUCACUUAUAGAUGGACCCGCGCCGUAUUAGCUAGUUGGUAAGGUAACGGCUUACCAAGGCAACGAUACGUAGCCGACCUGAGAGGGUGAUCGGCCACACUGGAACUGAGACACGGUCCAGACUCCUACGGGAGGCAGCAGUAGGGAAUCUUCCGCAAUGGGCGAAAGCCUGACGGAGCAACGCCGCGUGAGUGAUGAAGGUCUUAGGAUCGUAAAACUCUGUUGUUAGGGAAGAACAAAUUUGUUAGUAACUGAACAAGUCUUGACGGUACCUAACCAGAAAGCCACGGCUAACUACGUGCCAGCAGCCGCGGUAAUACGUAGGUGGCAAGCGUUAUCCGGAAUUAUUGGGCGUAAAGCGCGCGUAGGCGGUUUCUUAAGUCUGAUGUGAAAGCCCACGGCUCAACCGUGGAGGGUCAUUGGAAACUGGGGAACUUGAGUGCAGAAGAGGAGAGUGGAAUUCCAUGUGUAGCGGUGAAAUGCGCAGAGAUAUGGAGGAACACCAGUGGCGAAGGCGGCUCUCUGGUCUGUAACUGACGCUGAUGUGCGAAAGCGUGGGGAUCAAACAGGAUUAGAUACCCUGGUAGUCCACGCCGUAAACGAUGAGUGCUAAG